GCUCCAGCUACGAUUCAAAGUAAAAUAAAAUAGUGCACCAAAGGAAGGACAAUGAAGAAUAACUCUGCCUCAAACAAGUCUUGUACCAAAAAUUUUUGCCAAAAGUUGGAAAUAACAGAUAACAAGGCAAAUGGGUAUGUGAGAUCAAUCUUCUUCAUCGAUGACCUUAGUGCCUAAUCCUUUCAAACCUUCUGCCGGGAUUUCUGCAACGGUAACGAGAGAAUAGAGUUCUUCCUUUGCAUCUUCAUCGUCGUUCCUCUUGCGUGCAAUACGAACUCUAAUUCUCCUUGGAACACUCCGAAUUCCUCUGCUCCAGAUGUGCUUG
rnacentral:misc_RNA from 1 species